rnacentral:rRNA from 1 species
UACGUAGGUGGCAAGCGUUACUCGGAAUCACUAGGCGUAAAGCGCAGGUAGGCGGUUUGGUAAGUCUUUUGUGAAAGCUCCCGGCUUAACUGGGAGAGGUCAAGGGAAACUACCAGGCUAGAGUGUGGCAGAGGAAGCUAGAAUUCCCGGUGUAGCGGUGAAAUGCGUAGAUAUCGGGAGGAAUACCUAUGGCGAAAGCAGGCUUCUGGGCCGUCACUGACGCUGAUCUGCGAAAGCUAGGGGAGCAAACAGG